rnacentral:rRNA from 1 species
GAGUUUGAACCUGGCUCAGGAUGAACGCUGGCGGCGUGCCUAACACAUGCAAGUCGAACGAAGCAUGUAUGGAACUUACUUUCGAGGAAGGGAAAUACAUGACUGAGUGGCGGACGGGUGAGUAACGCGUGGGUAACCUGCCGUAUACAGGGGGAUAACAGCCAGAAAUGGCUGCUAAUACCGCAUAAGCGCACAGCGCCGCAUGGUGCAGUGUGAAAAACUCCGGUGGUAUACGAUGGACCCGCGUCUGAUUAGCUAGUUGGAGGGGUAAAGGCCCACCAAGGCGACGAUCAGUAGCCGGCCUGAGAGGGUGGACGGCCACAUUGGGACUGAGACACGGCCCAAACUCCUACGGGAGGCAGCAGUGGGGAAUAUUGCACAAUGGGGGAAACCCUGAUGCAGCGACGCCGCGUGAAGGAAGAAGUAUCUCGGUAUGUAAACUUCUAUCAGCAGGGAAGAAAAUGACGGUACCUGACUAAGAAGCUCCGGCUAAAUACGUGCCAGCAGCCGCGGUAAUACGUAUGGAGCAAGCGUUAUCCGGAUUUACUGGGUGUAAAGGGAGCGCAGGCGGCAUGGCAAGUCAGAUGUGAAAGCCCGGGGCUCAACCCCGGGACUGCAUUUGAAACUGUCAGGCUGGAGUGCAGGAGAGGCAGGCGGAAUUCCUAGUGUAGCGGUGAAAUGCGUAGAUAUUAGGAGGAACACCAGUGGCGAAGGCGGCCUGCUGGACUGUAACUGA